AGCAGUCGCCACGGUAAUACGUAGGUGGCAAGCGUUGUCCGGAAUUAUUGGGCGUAAAGCGCGCGCAGGCGGAUCAGUUAGUCUGUCUUAAAAGUUCGGGGCUUAACCCCGUGAGGGGAUGGAAACUGCUGAUCUAGAGUAUCGGAGAGGAAAGUGGAAUUCCUAGUGUAGCGGUGAAAUGCGUAGAUAUUAGGAAGAACACCAGUGGCGAAGGCGGCUUUCUGGACGAAAACUGACGCUGAGGCGCGAAAGCCAGGGGAGCGAACGGGAUUAGAUCCCCAGUAGUCCCUGUCUCUUAUACAC
rnacentral:rRNA from 1 species